UUCUGUUGGAAACAAGUUUAGGAUGUCUCUGGGUCUGCCUGUGGCAGCCACUGUGAACCGCGCUGAUAACACUGUUGCUGCAUCUGGCGGAGCUGUCGCUGCCGCCCCAAAGGGCAACCUUCAUCACACACAACCCCAUAACAGGGCCUCAAGGCCGACGCCAAAAGUGGUGCUUGUGGUGCCAAGCAAGACUAACUGUAUGUGAGAUUUUGGUCCAUCUGUACACCAUCUUUGGGGUCCAGGCGUACGCCUCCAUGCUUGUCGGCGGUGCCCUUUCCUUCAACCUCGUCUUCCCCUCCAGCGAGCCAGACAUGUGGAGGC